AAUGAACGUUGGCGGCAUGGAUUAGGCAUGCAAGUCGAGCGAGAAGAGUUUUGAAGCUUGCUUUAGAACUCGGACAGCGGCGAAAGGGAGAGUAACGCGUAGUUAUGUGCCCUAGGGUCCGGAAUAGCCACGGGAAACUGUGGGUAAUGCCGGAUAAUAUCCCCGGAUCAAAGGUGUGAUUCCGCCCUAGGAGCAGACUGCGUCCUACUAGCUAGUUGGUGGGGUAAUGGCCCACCAAGGCAAUGAUGGGUAGCGGGUGUGAGAGCAUGACCCGUCUCACUGGGACUGAGACACUGCCCAGACACCUACGGGUGGCUGCAGUCGAGAAUCUUCGGCAAUGGGCGAAAGCCUGACCGAGCGAUGCCGCGUGCGGGAUGAAGGCCCUCGGGUUGUAAACCGCUGUCGUAGGGGAGGAAGGUUCCGUGAAGAGCGGGACUUGACCUAUCCUAGGAGGAAGUACGGGCUAAGUUCGUGCCAGCCGCCGCGGUAACAC
rnacentral:rRNA from 1 species